rnacentral:lncRNA from 1 species
AAAUUUAAACUAUAUAUUAGUAAGAUUGUUAUUUACAUCAUAUUGUGCUAAAAGAAAAAGAAAAAGAAGUAGGUGCAGACAAUAAAAACAAUGGUCAAAAUUAGCAAUACCCAACAUUAUUUUUCGAGUGGACGAUCCACUCCAACGAUUCAGAUUUUGAAACACUGGCUACUAUCAUUCAUGUGUCAUUAUGAAACUCAUGAUUUAUUGCCACCAUAUCGUUCCUCCAAAUUUAAUUUUGAAUUCCCUUGAUGACUGGCUACUAUUAUUUAUGUCAUUAUGAAACUCAUGAUUUAUCGCCACCAUAUUGUCCAUCCAUAUUUAAUUUUAUCUCUGAAUUCUAAUACCCUAGACGACACUAUCCCAGUACACUGAGGUCUCACCAGAUGGCAUGAGGGAAUAUUUCAACUAUAAUUUUUGUGAAUCAAUUUACAAGGGAAGAAAAUGAUUUUGACGAAUCAAUUUACAAGGGAAGAAGAUGAUUUUGACGUUUAAUUGAUUUGGAAUUUCAAUUUAAUUAGUACAAUAAAGAAAUUGAAGGGCCUUGAGGUCAAUUUAGUGACCAUUUUUUAACCUUCAAAACUCAAGAUGAUAUUAUGAAAAUUUCUAAAGAAUCAGAUGUAAACAAUAUGC